CCAAGGGCAAAGAGAAUGCCUACUGUGGCUCAUUGUUUUGCGGCAACAUCUCAUUUAAUCUUUACAGCAAACCUACCAGGGAGGUGCCAUUACUAUUGUUUGUUUAGAGGUGGGGACAUGAGUCUAGAAGGGUUUAAUCAGCCUGAGGUCCUUUGGUGGGUAGAUGACAGAAGCAGAUUUGAACUCCUGGGCUCUUGAUACUAUAGUCAGCUGCCACUGAUUGAAAAUACCAAUUCACACCUUCUAACAAGAAUGCAAGAUUGACUUGGCUGUGCAAAAUAUGCAUUACAUUGUGCCAAUAAAGAGUUCACCUAAGUUGUCCAACCUAGCAUUUUAAGUCACUUGACCUAAAUACAAUGCACCCAGUUAAACUGUCCUUGAAAAUGACACAUCUACCCUAGUUUGUGCCUGGUACUACAAUGUCCAUAGUAGCAUUUAGGAAAUGGUUUUAGUUACAAAUCCCAGUUUUAGGAAAAAUGAAGAUGGAUAAGCUUUCCAAUGAAGGGCUCAGGACAAAGUUGAGGGUCCUGCUCGUUCUCUCUUCUGAAGUUGUUCCCUUCUGAGGGUGUGUUUUGUACAGCUGCUUCUGUUGCUCUGUGUCUUUUUGGCUUCAGAUUUUUAAAAUCUUCUCUUUAAUCCCUGAAAACAAAAGGUAAGCGUAUGUCUCUGUGCUUCGUAGCAUGUGUCCAAAUAAUCACCGAGACAAGCAGCUUGCUCAAGCUGUGAGUGAAGAAGCCAGGCUGGUUUGUGUUGCCCUUGGUUUGGGGUUGGACAGUUUCUCUUUUAAACCUCUUCCUAGAUGUUGGGAUCCCAGGCAGCGAUGGGGUCAGAGAAAGCUGCCUCUAAGAGUCAGGUUCUUCUCCACAUCCAGACAAUGACUGAAACAAAUCUUUCUAGCUCCAAAGGCCAAGCUUUCAGAAACCAAGUUGUGCUGUAUGUGAGCCCUUUCACGAUGGGAGGAAUGCCUGCUUCCAAGUAGGGGUUUGAGGAGGAAAGAGAUUCAGCUCCGGACCAGCCAUUUCUUUUUUGGAGGAAAUAUAUGUGUGUGUGUGUGUGUGUGUAUAUAUAUAUAUAUAUAUAUAUUUGUGUGUAUAUAUAUAUGUGUACACACAUACACACACAUAUAGAAAUACAGGACAUCAAAGCUCUUUCAUUUGGGAAGAACUUUCCCUUUGCCAUUCCAUUAGCAUAAAAACAAGCUCCCUGUUGGCUGUUAAGUUCAUACUGUGUGUGAACUUUGAGAUACAGAAGGAUUCAUCUGUGUGAUGCAUUACAGAGAUCUUGCCUGGGAGUGAGGACUGUUGAUAUUGUAAAAAUGCACCACUCCUAGAAGGGAGGAACAAAGGAACUCGGUCCAAGAGCCUCUCUGAGACCUCUUCUCCCUUCUCUGUCAGCACAGGAAAAGAGAGUGGAGGGGCUGCUGCCCCAGGAAGGCUGGGCCCACCCCUCCUCACAGGCACCCUGAUGCCUGUUCAGCUUGGCUCUCUGGAUGACAGGCAGAAGCCCCAGUUGCUUCUCUUCUCCACGGUGAUUUCUGCAUACUUUAUCCAAACCCCCUCCCCACCGCUGUUCAGUUUCUGGCUCCUCUUCCUGCCCGUGCUCUGAGGCCAGCUGGGGGCCUCCCAGGUGACUCCUGCUGCUGCUGUCACUGGACCCUGACGCUGUGCCGCACCCGAAUUCCUCCGAAUGGAGCCUUGGCCAGAGCAAGGCGUGCCGUGUAGAGGAGCGGAUCUGAGCCUGGCAGGAGAUCGCUAAAACCUUUGCCCUUCACACAAACGCGGAAGCACGGGGCGGGUGCUGAAGAGCCAAGCAAGUGUCCCCCAUUUCCUUCCAAGGCAGAGCAGCAGCCCAGGGAGGCCCAGUUUCCAUCGCGGCAGAAGGGCAGAAGAGUGGGGGAGGUCCCAGGACCACAGCCCAGGGGACACUCAGGAUGCGCCAGGAAGGACAUGGCAGACAGGCCCUUUAGGUGGAAAAGCAACCCUCAGCUGCCCAGAGAGCGGCCCCUCCAGGCCCUCCCCGCCGUCUGCAAAGCUCUUCAGCUGGGAGAGGAGGAAAGGGUUUGUUCUUGACCUCCUUCCUUUCCUUUCUUCUCCACUGUCCACCAGAGAGCAGGAAGACAGGCUGAUGCUCUUGUUAAAGAUGAAGGCAUAAUUCACAUGCCAUAAAAUUCACCAUUUUAACCAUUUUAAGGUGCACAGUUCAGUGGUUUUGAGUGCAUUACAUUGUUGGGCAACCAUCAGCAUGGUCUAAUUCCAAAACAUUUCUGUCACUCCAAAAAGAAAUCUUGUACCCAUUAGCAGUCACUCCCCAUUUCCCCCUACCCCCCAGCCCCCCGGCACCCACGAAGGUGCUUUCUCUGUUUCGAGGGAUCUUCCUAUUGUGGCAAAUCCUCUGAAUGGAAUCAUACAAUAUGUGGUCUUCUGCCACUGGCUUCUUUCACUGACCAUAAUUUUUCAAGGUUCACCCACGUUGUAGCAUGCGUCAGCGCUUCAUUCCUUUCCAUGGCUGGACUGUAUUUCAUUGUAUGUCUGGACCACAUUCUGUUUCUCUAGUCAUCAGUUGAUUACUUACUUUUCAGGGCCCACUUAGCCUUUCUUCCCAAGGGCAGGGGCUCUGUUGUCCACUGUUUUGGAGUCUUCCAGCAGACUUGAUGGAGUGUACCAGUGGUUUCCUUGCUGGGCAAAUAACCAGAGGGUCCCUGGGUACGGGAAUCUCUGAGUCCUGAUCUUUGGCUCUGCUGCAGACCAGGUCACUGUAUGAUCUUUUAGCAGCCUCUUUACCUCACCUGGCCUCAGUUUCUUCAUCUGAAAAAUGAAGGGCUUGAAGCAGAUGGUCUCUAACACUUCUCCUGGCCCAACACUUUAAGAUGUUUCAGCAAAGCAGUGAAGAAGCAGCCUUCUGUGACCUUUCUGAACAAGGCAGAGGAAAGCAAGCUGUAGGCUGACAUAGUUAGGUGAUUCCAUAACAAAAUUGCGCUGUAAACAAUCAUCUGGAUCAAUCGACAGAAGGCACUUGCAACAGGUUCCCAGAUGACAGAAAACUAUAGGAAUGACAGGGAAGGAAUGAUGGGGCAGAUUAAAAUGGAGAAAUUUAACAGGGACAAAUGUAAAAGUCGGACAUUUUGCUCCAAAGUUCAACAGAACAGCUACCUGCUUUGUUGGAUAUGUUCAGGCAGUGUCCUUUAUAAGAGUUUGAUUGACUCUAAAUGAAUCUCAUUAUGAGUCACCAUUGGGACAGGCUGCCAAAAGGCCAAUGUGACUUCAGAUUAAAUCAAUAGAGGUCUACUGGCUGAAACAAGGGAGGUGACAUUAUUGAGUCCAUCCCUGGUGUAUGUAGCUGCUACCCUCUGAGAAGGAGGCCCCCAAUAGGAAAAGCCAGAGGGAGGAUGGAUAAGACAUGAAGAGCUCUAGAACCAUGGUUUGGUAGUAGGAGGGGCUCAGGGUUUGGGUCUUUAAAAGAUAAGACAGAGAGUGCUGUUCACAUCUGUGAAGGAACAUGGCAUGAGAAGGGGAGUUGACUUCCACCAUGGGGACCUGCAGGGUGACUGGGGCUGGAAGAUGAUCAAUUGUGACCCAGGACCAGGAAGAACUUCGCAGCAACAAAAGUCACAGGAAAUGGAAAAAACUCCUGGUGAAGAACACAG
rnacentral:lncRNA from 10 species